rnacentral:rRNA from 1 species
UACGGAGGAUCCAAGCGUUAUCCGGAUUUAUUGGGUUUAAAGGGUGCGUAGGCGGCUUAUUAAGUCAGGGGUGAAAGACGGUGGCUCAACCAUCGCAGUGCCCUUGAUACUGAUGAGCUUGAAUACACUUGAGGUAGGCGGAAUGUGACAAGUAGCGGUGAAAUGCAUAGAUAUGUCACAGAACACCAAUUGCGAAGGCAGCUUGCUACACAGUUAUUGACGCUGAGGCACGAAAGCGUGGGGAUCAAACAGG